GGUUGUAUUUGGAUUAUUUUCCUUAUUUAUGAAUAAAUUAUUAUAUUGCUUUAAGAGUCGAGCAAGGUAUUAUGUAAUAUGUUAUUUGGUUAUUGAGGAUGAUUUGUUGUGGGCCUGACCCACAGGUCCAGGAUCGUUUUAUAGAUUAUGUUACAGGUGAGUGAAUAUUAUUUGAGGUUAUUAAGCGUUAAUUGUAAUUAGUGAAUCUUAAGUAUGUUUAGCUAGCAGCUUGGAAGUGCGGGCUGUUACAGGUGGUAUCAGAGCAUGGUUGUUUCGGAGUUGUCGUGAUCUCCAUAUCAUGACAUAUUGAUUAAGAAGGAUAUUUGGGAAUGUUUGAAAUCGAUUUGGGUUAUUAGUUAAUUGAAAAUGAGAAAUUAAAGGUUUAGUGUUGUGAAAUUUGCAAAAGUGGAAAGUCUAUUGGGUUUUAGAUUUGAGUGGCUAUAAGAGAAAGAUUGAAUUAUAUUGAUUGAGACUGCAAAAAGUUAGGAAAUAUUUCUUUUGAGAUAUUAUAGUUCGUUAUGAGUUCUGAGCUAAUUUUUGUGAAAAUGUUUUAUGUGAUGUAUUCGUUUUGAAAUGAUUUAAAGUUUUAUUUUUCUAAAUUUCGAGGACGAAAUUUAUUUUUAGGGUGGUAGAAUGUAACAACCCAAAUAUUUUAAGCAAGUUUAAGUAAAAGCUAGUUAUUUGUUUUAAAUUAAUCAUGAUAUUCUAGUAUACCUUGAUGUAUUUUGUUAAACAAAUUGAGUUUUUAAAGAGAAAGGAUAAAAAAAAUUAAAAAAAAAUGUUUGCACCUUCUGUGGCUUAUGUUGGGAAUGCCACCUUAUUUCUUUGUUGUCAAAUUUUCACAACUCCUCAUUAAAGAUAGAAGGAACUCAUAGUCUCAUACCCAAUUUUCUCCAUAUUCCUUCACGGUGAUAUCUCUCCAUCCUCUGUUCUGUCCGUCAAAUUCAAGCAGCAUACUCUCAUUUUUUAGCCUUUGUUCCUUCAUCAAAGUUGUAGAUCUCUUCGAGUUAUUGAAUUUAGGCUGAAAAAUUUCUUCAAUCGGAGUUCGGAGCUAGGAGUUAUGAUCUCUGGAAGUUGUAGUUGUUUGCUGCCACUGUUUCAGUGUUUUUCUCUCUCCUCUUUUUCGUGGAUGCUGCUGCCACCUGAUUUGUUGGUGUUGUGGCUGUUGCAUGUUGUUGUUGUCAAAGAAUUAUUUCUUUUGCUUCUGUCCCAUCGGUGCUGCUACUGUUUUCCGGUCCUCUUCGCCGGCGAGCUACCACCAUCGAUGUUGUGCGCGUCGUGUUGAUUGGCUGAAUUGAGUUCUUGUGUCUUGUUGUUUGUGAAUUCAAAAAUUAGGUAUAACAAUUAAGUUUUCAUAUAUAUGAUUUUCUAAAGAUAUAAUUAUUGUUGUUUGAUUCAAUUCAAAUUGUUAAAGCUGAUCAUGAUUUAUGUUGGUAAACUUUUAUUUUAUAUUGUAGCUUCCAACUUACUUUGUUCUGUCAGGAAGUUUUAAGUAUAUUUGUAUACUUAUAAACAAUACCAAGUUUUAAGAGAAGAUGUUUAUAAUUCAGAAUAUAGUGGAACUAAUAAUCAAGAUGGAUAUUAUGUUCCAAACAAGUAACUUGCUGUGUUUUCUUUUAAUGGAUUCAAGUGGGUUUUGUAAGAGCAAUUUGAUGAUCUUGUUACGAAAAUCAGAUAUGAUAAAAGUUUGUUCAACUUAAAGAUUAAAUCAUUCCUAUUUAUUUAAUGGGUUGGGUUGAGGUUUAUAAAUUGUAUUUAUAUUUCUUAAGUUAGUUUAUGAAGUCAAAUUAUCAUAAGCCAUGUUGUUUGAUAGUAUCCUCUGUGGAUUAGAAUGAGGUUAAUUGGAGUUAGAGAUUGAUAUAGUGAAUUGGAUUAGUAGAAUGGUUUGUAAAUAAGGAGUUGUGGGUAGUUCAUGAAAGAGGUUAGAAGAUAUGAGAAAGUUAAUUUCUUUAUCUAAUUGAUAGUAAGGAUGUUAAUUGUUGUUCAUAUUAUUGUGAGGUGAUUGUUGGAGAUUGAUAAAGAAUUUAGAGAUGUCGGACACUUGAAGAUUAUAAUGGAAUCGAGCGUUCUUUGGGGAAAUGAAGGAGAGUUCAUUGUUAGUGAUCUUGCAGGUAGGUAUGUGGAAAGCUCGGAAUGGAGUAAAAGGAAGAAUUUAAGUAUCAAGGUUAUAAUGAGAUGUAAGGGUUCCGAGGUUGUAUUUGGGAUUAUUUUUCCUUAUUUAUGAAUAAAUUAUUAUAUUGCUUUAAGAGUCGAGCAAGGUAUUAUGUAAUAUGUUAUUUGGUUAUUGAGGAUGAUUUGUUGUGGGCCUGACCCACAGGUCCAGGAUCGUUUUAUAGAUUAUGUUACAGGUGAGUGAAUAUUAUUCGAGGUUAUUAAGCGUUAAUUGUAAUUAGUGAAUCUUAAGUAUGUUUAGCUAGCAGCUCGGAAGUGCGGGCUGUUACAGGUGGUAUCAGAGCAUGGUUGUUUCGGAGUUGUCGUGAUCUCCAUAUCAUGACAUAUUGAUUAAGAAGGAUAUUUGGGAAUGUUUGAAAUUGAUUUGGGUUAUUAGUUAAUUGAAAAUAAGAAAUUAAAGGUUGAGUGUUGUGAAAUUUGCAAAAGUGGAAAGUCUAUUGGGUUUUAGAUUUGAGUGGCUAUAAGAGAAAGAUUGAAUUAUAUUGAUUGAGACUGCAAAAAGUUAGGAAAAUUUUCUUUUGAGAUAUUAUAGUUCGUUAUGAGUUCUGAGCUAAUUUUUGUGAAAAUGUUUUAUGUGAUGUAUUCGUUUUGAAAUGAUUUAAAGUUUUAUUUUUCUAAAUUUCGAGGACGAAAUUUAUUUUUAGGGUGGUAGAAUGUAACAGCCCAAAUAUCUUAAGCAAGUUUAAGUAAAAGCUAGUUAUUUGUUUUAAAUUAAUCAUGAUAUUCUAGUAUACCUUGAUGUAUUUUGUUAAACAAAUUGAGUUUUUAAAGAGAAAUGAUAAAAACAAAUUAAAAAAAAAAUGUUGCACCUUCUGUGGCUUAUGUUGGGAAUGCCACCUUAUUUCUUUGUUAUCAAAUUUUCACAACUCCUCAUUGAAGAUAGAAGGAACUCAUAGUCUCAUACCCAAUUUUCUCCUUAUUCAUUCACGGUGAUAUCUCUCAAUCCUCUGUUCUGUCUGUCAAAUUCAAGCAGCAUACUCUCAUUUUUUGGUCUUUGUUCCUUCAUCAAAGUUGUAGAUCUCUUCGAGUUAUUGAAUUUAGGCUGAAAAAUUUCUUCAAUCGGAGUUCGGAGCUAGGAGUUAUGAUCUCUGGAAGUUGUAGUUGUUUGCUGCCACUGUUUCAGAGUUUUUCUCUCUCCUCUUUUUCGUGGAUACUGCUGCCACCUGAUUUGUUGGUGUUGUGGCUGUUGCAUGUUGUUGUUGUCAACGAAUUCUUUCUUUUGCUUCUGUCCCAUCGGUGCUGCUACUGUUUUCCGGUCCUCUUCGCCGGCGAGCUACCACCAUCGAUGUUGUGCGCGUCGUGUUGAUUGGCUGAAUUGAGUUCUUGUGUCUUGUUGUUUGUGAAUUCCAAAAUCAUAUAUGAUUUUCUAAAGAUAUAAUUAUUGUUGUUUGAUUCAAUUCAAAUUGUUAAAGCUGAUCAUGAUUUAUGUUGGUAAACUUUUAUUUUACAUUGUAGCUUCCAAAUUACUUUGUUCUGUCAGGAAGUUUUAAGUAUAUUUGUAUACUUAUAAACAAUAACAAGUUUUAAGAGAAGAUGUUUAUAAUUCCGAAUAUAGUGGAACUAAUAAUCAAGAUGGAUAUCAUGUUCCAAACAAGUAACUUGCUGUGUUUUCUUUUCAAUGGAUUCAAGUGAGUUUUGUAAGAGCAAAUUGAUGAUCUUGUUACGAAAAUCAGAUAUGAUAAAAGUUUGUUCAACUUAAAGAUUAAACCUUUCCUAUUUAUUUAAUGGGUUGGGUUGAGGUUUAUAAAUUGUAUUUAUAUUUCUUAAGUUAGUUUAUGAAGUCAAAUUAUCAUAAGCCAUGUUGUUUGAUAGUAUCAUCUGUGAAUUAGAAUGAGGUUAAUUGGAGUUAGAGAUUGAUAUAGUGAAUUGGAUUGGUAGAAUGGUUUGUAAAUAAGGAGUUGUGGGUAGUUCAUGAAAGAGGUUAGAAGGUAUGAGAAGGUUAAUUUCUUUAUCUAAUUGGUAGUAAGGAUGUUAAUUGUUGUUCAUAUUGUUGUGAGGUGAUUGUUGGAGAUUGAUAAAGAAUUUAGAGAUGUCGGACCCUUGAAGAUUAUAAUGGAAUCGAGCGUUCUUUGGGGAAAUGAAGGAGAAGCUGCUAAAGCAGUGACGUACAACAUUUGUGGAGCAGGUUUGCUCAUUAUGUGUUAGAGCGGGUAUUGCUAUCGAGCGGAUAUUGCUCCGUUAUGUGAGGGUCAUGACCUAAAAGUCUUGCAAGCAGUACAAAAUGGAAGAGGGAGAUGUCCCUUGUAUAAAGCUUAGAGAAUUCACCUGAAAGGCAACUCUAUUCGUGUUCUCUUCUCCAGUAUAAUAUGAUUUCUGAAAGAAAAUAGAAUAUGUAUAUGAGUGUUCGAGUGGUUUGUGGAAAGUUAUUUCUAACUUUAAUUUCUGAAAUAAUGUUUUACUCACCCAAGUGUUAGAGUUCAUGCGCCAAUAUUGGAAAUGAUUAUCAAGGAACUUGUUAGGAAUUUAUGCAGGAGUUAACUAUGAUAUACAUAUGGAUUAAAGGUUUUUGGAUCAUAUGGAUUGAAUGUCUUUGUGUAUGAUCCACAGAAGUGGGAGAGAAUUAUUGACGUAAGGUAUGUUAGAGUUGACUUCGAAGGAUCGUAUUAGUUCUAUGGAAGUAGCAUUACAAACCGUGUUCAAAUA